rnacentral:rRNA from 1 species
GAUGAAUGCUGGCGGCGUGCCUAACACAUGCAAGUCGAGCGGCAGCGCGCAGAGUUUACUCUGUGGCGGCGAGCGGCGGACGGCUGAGUAACGCGUGGGAACAUGCCCCAAAGUGAGGAAUAACUGCCCGAAAGGGUGGCUAAUGCCGCAUAUGGUCUUCGGAUUAAAGGAUUUAUCCGCUUUGGGAGUGGCCUGCGUACGAUUAGAUAGUUGGUGAGGUAAUGGCUCACCAAGUCUACGAUCGUUAACUGGUCUGAGAGGAUGAUCAGUCAGACUGGAACUGAGACACGGUCCAGACUCCUACGGGAGGCAGCAGUGAGGAAUCUUCCACAAUGGGCGAAAGCCUGAUGGAGCAACGCCGCGUGCAGGAUGAAGGCCUUCGGGUCGUAAACUGCUUUUAUAAGUGAAGAAUAUGACGGUAACUUAUGAAUAAGCACCGGCUAACUACGUGCCAGCAGCCGCGGUCAUACGUAGGGUGCAAGCAUUAUCCGGAGUGACUGGGCGUAAAGAGUUGCGUAGGUGGACAAGUAAGCGAAUAGUGAAAUCUGGGGGCUCAACCUCACAGACUAUUACUCGAACUGCUUGUCUCGAGAAUGGUAGAGGUAACUGGAAUUUCUAGUGUAGGAGUGAAAUCCGUAGAUAUUAGAAGGAACACCAAUGGCGUAGGCAGGUUACUGGACCAUUUCUGACACUGAGGCACGAAAGCGUGGGGAGCGAACCGGAUUAGAUACCCGGGUAGUCCACGCCGUAAACGAUGGAUACUAGCUGUUGGGGGUAUCGACCCCCCCAGUAGCGAAGCUAACGCGUUAAGUAUCCCGCCUGUGGAGUACGGUCGCAAGACUAAAACAUAAAGGAAUUGACGGGGACCCGCACAAGCGGUGGAUUGUGUUCUUUAAUUCGAUGAUAAACGGAGAACCUUACCAGGGUUUGACAUCCCAAGAAUUUUGCCGAAAGGCGAGAGUGCUUUAUUGAACUUGGUGACAGCUGUUGCAUGGCCGUCGACAGCUCGUGUCGUGAGAUGUUUGGUUAAGUCCAUCAACGAGCGCAACCCUUGUCAUUAGUUGUAUUUUUCUAAUGAGACUGCCCCGGCAACGGGGAGGAAGGAGGGGAUGAUGUCAGGUCAGUAUUACGCUUACAUCCUGGGCUAGAAACGCAAUACAAUGGCCGGUACAAUACGCAGCGAAGCCGCGAGGUGAAGCAAAUCGUAUCAAAACCGGUCCCAGUUCGGAUAAGAGGCUGAAACUCGCCUCUUUGAAGUCGGAAUCGCUAGUAAUCGCAGAUCAGCAAGCUGCGGUGAAUACGUUCCCNGGGUCU